UUUAAUUAAUUUACUCCUAUAUAUAUUGCAUCUAACGGUGUCGGUUUCUCACUCUUUAUAACCCGUAUUGUCAACUAAGAAGUGAUCCACUUUUCAAGCAAAGGUUGUUUGGAGACAUGAAUCCAGAAGACGUGGUUAUCAUUCUCAGUGAUGAUGAUGAUGAUGUGUCCAUCAACGACUCGGUCUACAUCGUCGAAGACAUCCAGAACAACGUAUACCCAGUAGAUCAGUCC